rnacentral:pre_miRNA from 1 species
CAAGUACUCCCUCCGUCCCAAAAUUAUUGUCUUAGAUUUGUCUAAAUACAGAUGUAUCAAGUCACGUUUUAGUAUUAGAUACAUCCCUAUCUAGACAAAUCUAAGACAGGAAUUUUGGGACGGAGGGAGUACAAG